rnacentral:rRNA from 1 species
AUGAACGCUGGCGGCGUGCCUAAUACAUGCAAGUCGAGCGAACAGACGAGGAGCUUGCUCCUCUGACGUUAGCGGCGGACGGGUGAGUAACACGUGGAUAACCUACCUAUAAGACUGGGAUAACUUCGGGAAACCGGAGCUAAUACCGGAUAAUAUAUUGAACCGCAUGGUUCAAUAGUGAAAGACGGUUUUGCUGUCACUUAUAGAUGGAUCCGCGCCGCAUUAGCUAGUUGGUAAGGUAACGGCUUACCAAGGCGACGAUGCGUAGCCGACCUGAGAGGGUGAUCAGCCACACUGGAACUGAGACACGGUCCAGACUCCUACGGGAGGCAGCAGUAGGGAAUCUUCCACAAUGGGCGAAAGCCUGACGGAGCAACGCCGCGUGAGUGAUGAAGGUCUUCGGAUCGUAAAACUCUGUUAUUAGGGAAGAACAAAUGUGUAAGUAACUAUGCACGUCUUGACGGUACCUAAUCAGAAAGCCACGGCUAACUACGUG